AUCAUAAUUUCUCCUAAAUCAGAAAUAAUGUGACGUUACUUGACCGACUGCGCGACUGUCAGUUUUUCAAGCAAGUGAUACAGAAGCCAAUUGAACAAACGCAACGGGCAAUAUUUUACGCACUCAGUGCUAAAUUCACGCACCCGAGCUGCCAGUGGAACACGUUGGAGAUAAGAGUAUCGCUAGUGCGCUCUCAGUUUACACUCAGCGCAACCAAUGGAAAACGCUAUGAGCGCUCCUAUAAGAGGUACUGAAGCUUACAUAUAAAGGACAGAGAUAUGUCGAGAGUCACUGAUAUAUAUGUACACUAGAUUGGAUUAAGCGUGGUGCCGUCACGCCAAUUGAACGGUAGCCAUUUCGUACAGAUUCUUGUCACUUCAGAUAUAUAUAUAUAUAUAUAUACACGUGAUAUGUGAUGUAUGUGUAUAUAAUCGAUUGCGACGGAAAAUUACAGUAACAAUUAUUGAGGUAACAAUGAGUACCUGCGUUUUUUGCAAAACAAAGCAAUCAAAAUAUUGUGGACGAUCAUUUCACAAGUGAGUAUACAACGCUGAAGCGUUCUGCAAAUGAUAACUUGCAGAGGUUAUGUCAGCAUACGAAGUAUUUACUAAUUAUAUUUAACGAGUAUUAUAACAUUUCCCGUGAAAGAUGUGUUGCGCGUUCAGCAUUGGUUAGAAGAAAUGAAGAGGAAGGACUGGAAGCCAAACCGAAAUAGCACAUUGUGUUCAGCUCAUUUUACAAAUGACUGCUUUGAUAGGACAGGAUUCCUAAUUACAUUGAAAAAGAACAGUGUACCAACUAUAUUUGACAACCCAAAAUCAGAGUGUUCAUCUUGUCACCGAUUAAAGGAAUAUGGACGUGGCUAUUCAUUCUUCAAGUUCCCAUUGGAUGAACCUGAUAUUAUGAAGCAAUGGAUCGCAAAUAUAAACAUUGGACCGUGGUCUCCAUCAAGUGAUAGCUUUCUGUGUUCCGACCACUUUGAACUCUCUUGCUUUCAGAAGAAAAGUAAAAAUUAUAUAACUUUACGAAAAGGCAGUAUCCCAACGUUAUUUGGUGAAAACUUGCAGCAGACCGAAUUUCAGGAUGAAUCCGAUCGGCCCACCACAGUGAAUGUAACCAAAUUACAUGAUCACCUACACAUUUGUACCUGAUUUGCAUGCU
rnacentral:misc_RNA from 1 species